CUCCUUUGACGUUAGCGGCGGACGGGUGAGUAACACGUGGGUAACCUACCUAUAAGACUGGGAUAACUUCGGGAAACCGGAGCUAAUACCGGAUAAUAUUUCGAACCGCAUGGUUGAUAGUGAAAGGUGGUUUUGCUAUCACUUAUAGAUGGACCCGCGCCGUAUUAGCUAGUUGGUAAGGUAACGGCUUACCAAGGCGACGAUACGUAGCCGACCUGAGAGGGUGAUCGGCCACACUGGAACUGAGACACGGUCCAGACUCCUACGGGAGGCAGCAGAC
rnacentral:rRNA from 1 species